CCUACGGGAGGCAGCAGUGAGGAAUAUUGGUCAAUGGACGGACGUCUGAACCAGCCAUGCCGCGUGCAGGAAGACGGCUCUAUGAGUUGUAAACUGCUUUUAUACAAGGGUAAACCUGAAUACGUGUAUUCAGCUGAAAGUACUUUAAGAAUAAGGAUCGGCUAACUCCGUGCCAGCAGCCGCGGUCAUACGGAGGAUCCAAGCGUUAUCCGGAUUUAUUGGGUUUAAAGGGUGCGUAGGCGGAUUGAGAAGUUAGAGGUGAAAUGUCCGAGCUUAACUCGGGAACGGCCUCUAAUACUGUUGAUCUAGAGAGUAGAUGCGGUAGGCGGAAUGUAUGGUGUAGCGGUGAAAGGCUUAGAGAUCAUACAGAACACCGAUUGCGAAGGCAGCUUACCAAUCUAUAACUGACGCUGAGGCACGAAAGCGUGGGGAGCAAACAGGAUUAGAUACCCUUGUAGUC
rnacentral:rRNA from 1 species